rnacentral:rRNA from 2 species
GUGGGUAGUUUGACUGGGGCGGUCUCCUCCUAAAGAGUAACGGAGGAGCACGAAGGUUGGCUAAUCCUGGUCGGACAUCAGGAGGUUAGUGCAAUGGCAUAAGCCAGCUUGACUGCGAGCGUGACGGCGCGAGCAGGUGCGAAAGCAGGUCAUAGUGAUCCGGUGGUUCUGAAUGGAAGGGCCAUCGCUCAACGGAUAAAAGGUACUCCGGGGAUAACAGGCUGAUACCGCCCAAGAGUUCAUAUCGACGGCGGUGUUUGGCACCUCGAUGUCGGCUCAUCACAUCCUGGGGCUGAAGUAGGUCCCAAGGGUAUGGCUGUUCGCCAUUUAAAGUGGUACGCGAGCUGGGUUUAGAACGUCGUGAGACAGUUCGGUCCCUAUCUGCCGUGGGCGCUGGAGAACUGAGGGGGGCUGCUCCUAGUACGAGAGGACCGGAGUGGACGCAUCACUGGUGUUCGGGUUGUCAUGCCAAUGGCACUGCCCGGUAGCUAAAUGCGGAAGAGAUAAGUGCUGAAAGCAUCUAAGCACGAAACUUGCCCCGAGAUGAGUUCUCCCUGAGACUUUAGGUCUCCUGAAG